AGUGAACGCUGGCGGUAGGCCUAACACAUGCAAGUCGAACGGCAGCACAGUAAGAGCUUGCUCUUACGGGUGGCGAGUGGCGGACGGGUGAGGAAUACAUCGGAAUCUACUUUUUCGUGGGGGAUAACGUAGGGAAACUUACGCUACUACCGCAUACGACCUACGGGUGAAAGCAGGGGAUCUUCGGACCUUGCGCGAUUGAAUGAGCCGAUGUCGGAUUAGCUAGUUGGCGGGGUAAAGGCCCACCAAGGCGACGAUCCGUAGCUGGUCUGAGAGGAUGAUCAGCCACACUGGAACUGAGACACGGUCCAGACUCCUACGGGAGGCAGCAGUGGGGAAUAUUGGACAAUGGGCGCAAGCCUGAUCCAGCCAUACCGCGUGGGUGAAGAAGGCCUUCGGGCUGUAAAGCCCUUUUGUUGGGAAAGAAAAGCAGCAGGUUAAUACCCCGCUGUUCUGACGGUACCCAAAGAAUAAGCACCGGCUAACUUCGUG
rnacentral:rRNA from 1 species